rnacentral:tRNA from 1 species
GGAGUUGUAGCUCAGGGGUUGAGCGCUUGCCUCAAACGCAUGAGGCACUGGGUUCAAUCCUCAGCACCCCA